GACCCCAUCGUCUAGCCCGGUCUAGGACACCUCCCUUUCACGGAGAAAACAGGGGUUCGAAUCCCCUUGGGGUCA
rnacentral:tRNA from 1 species